CAAAAUUCAAAAGUUUUAAAAACCACGCACUAAUAAGUAAUGCACAGCUAAUGUAUAAACUAUAAAGUCAAGGCAAUGAUUGAAAAAAUGAACGGAUUUGUCAAAAAAAUAACUUGAGAACAAUUUCAGUUGGAGAGUAUUGGGGAAGUAGAAAUCAAUUGACACAAGCCAUUCAAGAUCCACUUAGUCAGCAAUGUACAGUGACAGUUGAAAUUUUCCCAUUCAUAAAAGUUUCUAGAAAGAACAUUAAAUUGUUUUCAAGAAAUGACCGAUUCAUAGCAAAAGAUGUGACAAGAAAAGUACAAAAGUCUGCUUCCUAGUAUUAAUUCGUUGCAAACUAUAAUUUGCAACCAUGGCUUAGCUAUCCCAAUAGAUGGAAGAUUGUGGGCAAGCCGCAAUAUGGGAUUUUCACCCUCAGCUUCUUGUGGGCACUAGAUACUGGUCCCCCCACCUAAUAGGUCGUUGAGUCAGCGUGAUUGACUCAUAC